rnacentral:lncRNA from 1 species
AUAACCUCAAUCGCUUGCUUUGUUUGUAAUCUCUCUUUUCGUUGUUUGAUUUUUGUGCAAGGAAUAUCAAGUAAAACUCGAGUGCUUAAGAAAAUUAUUAAGGGAGCCUAGUGAGAUUCUAUCGAAGACCUGGUUUCUAGUUGCUAGCUACUAUUGAUUCGGCAAGAAUCUGGAGACUAUCAAGACGAUUGGGCCGAUUGGGAAGAUGUCAAGUGGAGCCAUCAGCCUAGGAUUCAACAUGCGAUAUGAUGCUACAUGGCUUGUUUUAUCACAAGACUGCGCAGGGAGGGAGAUGGCAGUUCACCAACUGCGCUGAUGCGGUAUGCUGAUGCAGCGCAGGAACUCUACAUUAUCUCAGCGCAGAAUAUAAUAGUCGUAAUGUAACGAAGGUAACCCACUAACUAGUGGUGAUCUAGGUACUUCGCAGACCUAUAAUUUCUCACUACAUGAUCUUAAGGUGUCUCAUCGAAGCAUGUAAGUAUGAAUGAAACAUGAUGUUAAGUUACUUCACCAAAGCAUGUAAGUAUGAAACAUGAUCUUAAGCUAUUUCAUCGAAGCAUGUAAGUAUGAUUGAGAUUUGGAAAAUGUUAUACUUUACCACUUGAGAAAAAUCAUGAUUUAUAUUAUCUCUUGAAGGGAUUUGGGAAUUUGAUAUUAUGUCUUGGAAGCUGCACACCUUCUGCAUAUGUGCCUAGGUCUAAAAUACGAAUUGACUAAGUAUACGAAGCUGCACACCUUCUGCAUAUGUGCUAGGACUUGGAAUAUAAUUUGGAUAACAUACUUUGGGACCAUAGAGUCAUACUAGCCCUGUCACUAGCAUCACAAGUAGGAACACCAAUCACAAGCAUACACAUAACAUGUUUAUUUUAAUCAUGCACAUGUUACUGAGAGGGAGGGAGUAGGGUAUAUGUUGCCAUCUGUAUUUUUCUUGAAAAUUUACAGCACAUCAGUAAUGGUUAACAAUGCUGGAAAACCUGCUUCGGCAGAAAAUGAGCUUUAGUGGCAAUUCAGCCACGCUUCGGAGGGGAAAGCCUUAAGUAGAAUUUGGGUCUUCUCAGCGCAGUCAGGAUAUUUAUCUCAGCUACCUCUGCGCAGUUAUCUCAGCGCAGCUAUCUCAGCGCAGCUAUCUCACUUAUCU